UACAGAGGUCUCAAGCGUUGUUCGGAUUCAUUGGGCGUAAAGGGUGCGUAGGCGGCGCGGUAAGUCGGGUGUGAAAUCUCGGAGCUUAACUCCGAAACUGCAUUCGAUACUGCCGUGCUUGAGGACUGGAGAGGAGACUGGAAUUUACGGUGUAGCGGUGAAAUGCGUAGAUAUCGUAAGGAAGACCAGUGGCGAAGGCGGGUCUCUGGACCGCAACUGACGCUGAGACACGAAAGCGUGGGUAGCAAACAGG
rnacentral:rRNA from 1 species